rnacentral:lncRNA from 1 species
AAACACAUAAACAUAUAAGGCUCAAGUAUACCUUCUUCAAACAAAACAAUCCAAUAGCAUGACUUAAACAAAUGAGUAAUGUCGGAUUCUAAAAAAAAUACUUGAGAGAAGAAGAGAUGGUUGUGUUGCAGCAGGCUUGGCUUAUUACACGACUCAAUUAGGAAACAGAAUGGGGUCUAUCUACUGAUUGUAACACUUAAACAAAUAAAGAGGCCAGUUCAUUUUUAUUUAUAUUACUUAAGGCUUGCUUAGAUAUUUGGACGGGGCCCAAUAGACAUGAUAUCUACUGAGUUCAGAAGGCAAUGAGACAGUAAAAAAUCUAAACGAAUUGUUUGAAAUCCUAUAGGCAUGCUUGCUAAACCUUGUUAAGUAAGGGAAUUAUAUUAUUAAGAAGAAGUUCGGAAUGGACAAAAUUAAAUUAGACUGGUUACAUAUUGUGCAGGUGAUAGUAUCUAAUAUUACGGAUUUUAAUCCCUAUGAACAUGAUAUCUAACAUUGCAUGUGAUAGACACAAACAAGAUUUAUUUAAGAAUCCAUAUAGGCAUGAUUUGUAUAUGUUACCGUAACAUGUUACUGGUUUAUACCCACUUGGUCCCUAAACAAGAUAUCUAAACGGUGACAAACAUGCAGAACUUUAGAAUGAAAUCCUAUAUGUAGGUUAUCUCGGCGUGAUAUUAAACAUGCAUAAUAAAUAAAUCUCUAUAGGCAUGAUGUCUAAGGUGCAGAAUCAAAAUACCCUAUAGGCAUGGUUUCUAAAUGCAGUUUGAAUAUGCAGAAUUAAAAUAUUCCUAUAGGUAUAUUUUCUACCCUUGCAUGCAUAGUCACUCGACCCUUUUCACUAGCCAACCCCAAAUGUUUAUUACAACUUAUUACAAACCAUGAAUACUAAAUACAUAAGAAAAAUACAAAGAAAAGAAUUACAACUAGAGGAAGCCUAAUUCUUGACUUCCUGUCUAAGUUGUGAGAUAAACCAACUCAAAUACCACUGAUCCAAAGCCUUUCUCAGACUAGAGUGUGUUAGAGUUCCCUAAGGGCCUCAAUAGGCCCCCGGGCAGUGCUCACACCCAAGUUCCAUAACCAGACUAGGGAUAAGUGCAGUGUGAAAAUGUCAUCCCUCUUGUGUCAAAGUUCAGAGGGAGUUCAUGGGUCCCGAGGCAAGGCUCACAUGAGGGGGUAGAACUUAAUUCUAAGAAGAGAGUGCUAGUACAGAAACAGAUAUUUAAGAACUAAGGAAGUAAAGAAGAGGGAAAGAGGUGCUGGGAACAACCAUUAACACCUCAAACCAGUUAAUAAUUUCACAACAAAGGGGCAGGGGUUUGAGAAUCCAUUGCAAGGAGCCUAUAUACCUAGGCAUAAGUUAAUUCUGGGCAUGCACAACAAUAGGGAGUGAUGUCAUGCUUGUAAAAUCAACCAGAAAACACAACAUAUAAGGGUAACAUGAAGGUUAUGAUCCUAGGAGGAACAAGUUUAAGUCAUGUUCAACAAUAUUUGAUGUUGUUAUGCCCCAAACAAACCAUAAGUAUCAAACACAUUGGGGUAGGGAUUUAGUAUUAUAAUACAUUGAUUCAGAACAGGAGAAAAGAAAGUAUAGCAUGCUAAAUAAAGGUACUGAAUUAGAUACAAGUAGUAGGAAGACAAAAAGGCAAGAACAUUAAGUAACCAUGUUGUUGUUGAUGCUAAAAGCUUGAUUAUAACAUACCAGUUAAAGAAACAAAAUGUAGUGAAGAAAGGUAGCAAGACUUCAAAAUAUAGCUUUGGCUUUUAGCCAGCUAAACAAGCCACUGUAACAAGUAGUAUAGCAAAAAAGAGAGUGUUUUGAGUGUAAGUGUCAAUUCUGAACUAAAAGUGUUCGUGUGUUUGUGUUAAUGAGAGAGUAUGUAUACAUAGUAGUUCAAAACCAUGUAAAGUAGGGCCGAAUUACAAUUGUAUAGUAAUUAUGGAACUUAGAACCAAUUAGAACCAACAUCAGCACAAGUACUCACUUAAUUUAAGGGAAUCAGUUCAAACGCUAAGAACAAGUAACAAAUAAGGAAAGAAAUCAAUGUGUAGACUAAAAUUAUUCGAACAUAUCAGGCAUAGAGUUAACUAUUAGGGCUAGGUUCAGAAAAACUCUAAUUAGGCAAAUAGACAGUAAGAAUCAAGCAGCCAAGGUAAGGGAAUCAAUCAGAUUGAGUAGAAAAGUAGGGAUCGAAGGUCUAAAGGAAAGUGUUCAAAUUAGACCAAGAAAUGGGGUAAUCAGAAUCAAUCAGAGAGAAAGUCAUGUGUCAAUAUUUUGCCUAAAAAUAAAGUAAGACACAGAUAGUCAAGAGUCGACACACAAACCUAGCAAACACGAGAGUCAAAUAAUACUGAUUUGAUGAGAAACAUACAGGUUUUAACAGUCAAGAUGAACACAAGCACGCAGAAUCAGUGCAAGUUUGUAGGUUAAGAAGCUGAGUAGAAACAAAUCAAGGCAAGAUAGUCACGAAGAAUCACAGAAACUCAAAAACGAGAACCGACCAGUCAUGCUAAUACACAAAACCAAACAAAGAAACCCCCUAAAAAUUAGGUCUUUCAACAUAAACAAGUUAAAUAGAAGAUAGAAACCUAGAAUUAGAAGAAUCACUCAAAGGGAACAAGAGAUUUCAAAAAGAACUUCUGUACUUAACAAUCUCAAACCCAAAACCACAGGAUUUUUAACAAUAGAAAAGUUUUAAUUAAAAAAAGAAUAAAUAGGAAGAUCAGACAAAAACUUAGGCAAACAAAUAUUCAUUUAAUAACAGGUAAAAUAAAUAGUUUUAACAUGCAAACUCAGGCGGAAAGGUAAUACGAGCAAACACUGCAAAACAUACCAAAAAUCAAAGAAAAGUUUCAAAAUAACUUAAUAGAAUCUUAGUUAGAAAGAUAAGGAGUUUUGAAAGUGGAGUUUUAAAAAACACUUUCGAGAAAAGUGCUUAAAAAUUCAGAGCAGACAUAGAUAUGAAACAAAUCUAAGAGAAAUCGAGAGAACCUUGAAAUUUAGGGUUUCAGAAGAACCCGAAGUGGUGAGAAAGGCUUUGAAAACCAUCGAUCUAAGUAGGAGAGUCGAGAGUCACUCUCGAAUAGCCAUGGCUGGUCGAAGAAAGGUCAGAGAUGACCAGGGAACUGGGUUUGCAUUUGAAGAGUCGCCACCUAUUGAUUAAGGUGCAUUAGGACACCAAUAGAGAUUCAACUCUGAGUUUUUUUUUUGAAUAACAACAGAUUGGGUAAGGGCUUGAAAUUAUCCCAAGGGGAAGGUGUUAUGCACCCUCAGAAUCCACUAGUCUAGUUACCGGCUAUACAGUUAUUAUGAAUUUAACAAAUAGACAAGUAUGGGCUCAAAUAUUAGGGGAUUUAAACACAUAAAAGAAAGAACAUUUGAAAUGAGAGUUUAAAAAAUAAAGAGUUUGAAAAUAAAAGGAAAGGGGUCCUCGGUUUGUAUUUAAUAUGGAUCACCCCACAUAAUGUCCGGUAAUCAUUCCUCAAUGAGGGGCUACACGUGACAUUAUUGCGUGGUCAUAUUCAUAUCUACCCUUCCCAUCCCAUUAAGGUAUUAAAGCGCGGAUUGGUCUCGAUUACUUAUUACAUGCUAUUACCCGUCCCAUUCUUAUCAGUCCCGGAGGAACUUAGGACUACUAAUCCUAAAAGGGAUGGAUACUAGGCUUAUUUGAAAUUUCAAAGGUAAAAAUUCAAAAGCAACAUACAAAACAUAUAAAGACUGCACAUUAAAGGGGAAACAUAUAAAUAUAUAAAGCUCAAGUAUACCUUCUCCAAACAAAAACAAUGCAAUAGCACGACUUAAACAAAUGUGUAAAGUCUGAUUCUAAAAAAAUACUUGAGGGAAUAAGAGAUUGUUUUGUUGCAGCAGGCCUAGCUUAUUACACGGCUCAGUUAGGAAACUGAAUCGGGUCUACCUACUGAUUGUAAAACUUGAACAAAUAACAGAGGUGAGUUCAGUUUUAUUUAUAUUGCCUAAGGCUUGCCUAAAUAUUUAGACGGGGUCCUAUAGACAUGAUAUCUGCUGAGUUCAGAAGGCGAUGAGAUAGUAAAAACUCGAAAUGAAUUUUUUGAAAUCAUAUAGGCAUGCUUGCUAAACCUUGUUAAGUAAGGGAAUUAGAUUAUUAAGAAGAAAUUCAGAAUGGACAAAAUUAAAUUAGACUGGUUACAAAUUUUGCAGGUGAUAGUAUAUACUACUACAGAUUUUAAUCCCUAUAAACACGAUAUCUAACAUUGCAUGUGAGUAAAAACAAACAAGAUUUAUGUAAGAAUCCCUAUAGGCAUGUUUUCUAUACGUUACUGAUUUUAACACAUUACAGGGUUAUCCACUUGGGCCCUAAAAUAGGAUAUCUAAACGGUUACAAACAUGCAGAACUUUAGAAUGAAAUCCUAUAGGCAGGUUAUCUAUGCGUGAUAUUAACCAUGCAAAGUAAGUUGAUAUCUAUAGGAAUAAUGUCUAAGGUGCAGAAUAGAAAUACCCCAUAGGCAUGAUUUCUAUAUGCAGAAUUAAAAUAGUCCUAUAGGCAUAUUUUCUACCUUUGCAUGCAUUGUCACCUGACCCUUUUCACUAGCUAGCCCCAAAUGUUUAUUACAACUUAUUACAAACCAGGAAUACUAAAUACAUUAGAAAAAUACAAAGAAAAGAAUUACAACCAGAGGAAGUGUGAUUCUUGACUUCCUGUCUGAGUUAUGAGAUAAACUAACUCAAAGACCACUGAUCCAAAGCCUUUCUCAGACUUGAGUGUAUUGGAGUUCCAUAAGGGCCUAAAUAGGCCCCCGAGCAGUGCUCACAACCAAGUUCCAUAACCAGAAUAGGGAUAAGUGCAGUGUGGAAAUGCCAGCCCUCAUGUGUCCAAGUUUAGAGGGAGCUCAUGGGUCCCAUGGCAAGGCUCACUGAGGGGGGUAGAACUUAAGUCUAAGAUUAGGGUGCAAGUACAGAAACAGAGCUUUAAGAACUAAGGGAGUUAAGAAGAGGGAAAGAGGUAUUGGGAACAACCAUUAACACUUCAGACAAGUUGAUAAUUUCAUACCAAGGGGGCGGGGGUUUGGGAAUACAUUGCAAGGAGACUAUAUACUUAGGCAUAAGUUAAUUCUGGGCAUGCACAACAAUAGAGAGUGUUCUCAUGCUUGUAUCAAUCAGAACACAUAACACAUAAGGGUAACAUAGAGGUUAUGAUCCUAGGAGGACCAAGUUUAAGUCAUGUUCGGAAAUAUUCGAUGUUGUCAUGUCCCAAAGCAACUAUAUGUAUCAAAAACAUUGGGGUAGGUAUUUAGGAUUCAUAAUACAUUAAUUCAGAAUAGGAGAAAAGAAAUUAUAGAAUGCUAAAUAAAGGUACCGAAUUAGAUACAAGCAGUAGGCAUACAAGAAGGCAAGAACAUUGAGUAAUCAUAUUGUUGUUGAUGCUGAAAACUUAAUUAGAACAUACCUGUCAAAGAAGUAAAAUGCUGUAAAGAAAUGUAGCAGGACUUUGAAAUAUAGCUUUGGCUUUCAGCCAGCUAAACAGGCCACAAUACAAGUAGUAAAGCAAGAGAGAGUUUUUUGACUGUAAGUGUGAGUUUAGAACUAAAAGUGUUUGUGUGUUUGUGUUAAAGAGAGAGUAUGUAUAUAUAGUAGUUCAAAACUAUGUAAAAUAAGGCAAUAAUUACAAUUGUAUAGUAAUUAUGGAACUCAGAACCAAUUAGAAUCAAAAUCAAUACAAGUAC